UUCAAGGAAAAAUAUGAGUACUUAAACACUACGUUUUCAAGACAAGAAGAAAAUAAAAAAGGGAUUCUUUCUUUUCAUCUUCUAUAGAGGAGUUCUUAGAAAAACCCACCAUUUUCAUAACGGCUAAGACCAAAAACUAAACUAAAGGCCCAAAUUUCUUUGAACAAAAUUUAUGGCUUUCACUUUCCACUCAUUUGCUCUGCUCUUCAACUUCACUCGAAUUCCAUUUUCAACUUUUAUGCGAUUCCCCAAUUACUUUUCACUCAGUGUUUGUUGCUUCACUCCUAGUCCUAGUUCUACUGAUGAAGAUGCAACAAGGAAAAAAAGUUGAAUAUGAAGUGUACUUCUAGCACGACUCAUCACAAAUUACGAAUUGAUAUUCUGAUUUACGUCGAGUUCAAAUUCCCCAAACUUGUUCUGGACAACUUUGUUCUCUAAUAGGGAGUGCAAUAAAGUUGCUAACUAUCUUGCAAAUUAUGGAGAAAGACGCAAAAGGCUUACAAUUUUGAGAAUGCAAAUUCUCUUCUGACAAGGUGAAAUCCCUCAUUAGGCUGGAUAGAGAUGACUUUCCCAACUUUAUUAUAUUUAAAACUAGAAAGAAUCAUUUUGUUAUUAAUGAUGCUAGCGCUAAAUAGUCAUAUCCGGUGUAUUGUAGUAUAUAUAGCAUCCUGCUGAAUAGAUGCCCAACACUCUAGUAUAUGAGAAUUAUCCUCUCAUAUGUGUUACAUUCUUCAAUUUUGUUUGGAGGCAUAGUUUAUGUUAUCCUCCCCUUUUGACUCUUAUUUGAUGAAUAUACAGGUUGAGGUCUUUCCUCCCCCCCCCCCCCCCCACCACACACCCCCAAAAAAAAAAAACCCACCUUGAGUGGGCUUCAGUUAUUUUUAAAAAUCAGGGGUUAUUGAAAAUAAUAUUUCUACCUCAUCUCUGAGGUAGUGGUACAGACUGCGUACAUUUACCUUCUCCAGAUUCCACUUUGUAGAAAUAUAUAAGUAAUGUUGUUGUAUAUUUUAGUAAUACCUAUACACUAAACAAUCCACAAAUAUUAGAUUCAAACUAAAUAUGAUGCCAUUUAUACUAUUGAAAACCUUGGCUAAACUAAUAACAUGUUCGACAAAGUUGUCGAAGUUAGCCUUUUUUGGAAAAAAAAUAAGAGUUUUUUUCUUUUCUCUUUUCUCUUUUUUUAAAAGUAAUUCACGAGUGGCAAACUAAACAUUAUCUCCAGUGGAAUGCAGUGAUCUGCUCGCCUCCUUUCCUACUACUGAUUUCUUCCAUGAUAACCUCUACAACGCCUAUCGGCCAUCCUGUUGGUUGCAAACAUCUUAGUGACCCUCCUCCUCCUUCCCAAAAUACCAAUUCAUAUGCUGCUAACAUUUCCAGUUCUAACAAAUUUGGCACCACACAAAGACUCCCUUUCUAACCACUAACAACUGAGUUCUUCACUCCCGAGAGGAAGAGGAGCUUAUUAAUGCGUACAGAUUAAUCAAUGAAAAUAGAAGAAACUUUAAUGCUAAGUUUCUUAUGAAAGGUGUAUCCAAGAUCAGUCAUUACUGUUAGGUUUUUAUCUUAAUUUUCUUAUCAAAUUUAAGUUUUACUUUUUUCUUAAUAGGAAAAUAAAAGUAAUAUCAUAAUUACUUUUACUUUUUUCUGAAAGGAAAAUAUAAAACUUUUCCAUAUUUGACGAACCUUUUCUUUUGAGAAUUUUUUUUGAAACUGUAUAAAUAAAAGACCCCUUCUCAUACUAUAACACAAUAUCAUCCACAAUUUAGUCGUUUAAGAGUUUUGGUUAGAGAGAAAUUUUCUCUCUCAUUAGUUUUUGUAUUUUCUUAAAUAUUUGGUUUUAUAAUAUGUAGAUCAAUUGACCAAAAUUUAUAAUAGUUUUAUGUUUUUUAGUAUUAUUUUCUUUGUCGUCUGAUUUAUCGUUUCAUAGUUUGCAACUAAUAGCUUCCGCAUGAUUGAUUUCGAACCCAACAAGUGGUAUCAGAGAUUACAGUUCAAAGGUCCAAUGGUUUGAUGAAAUGAGGUUGAAGACAAGUUCAAGACGGUUCAAAAUCAAUUUGCAACUAAUUUGAUGAUAAUGAAGAUAUAUGUUCAAGAUACUACAUGUGGAUAAAAAGUUUCAAACAAAUUUUCAUCAAUCCUGCUGUUAAUUCAUCUUUAAAAUCAAAAUCAAUUUUCAACUCAUGUUUAUGGGCUCCAACUUUUAACCCUUGCUGAUUUUUAUGCUUGGGCUCCUUUCAACUCGUCAAUUUAUUUUUAACACAUGAGCUUCACUCUUAACCUGUGCUCACUUUCAGUGCACAGGGCUUCACUUUCAACCCUAUUUACUUAUAACACAGAGCUCAAAUAAUAUCAACCUGUGUUUUUAUUUUUAAUGUAUAGGACUCCAAUUUUUAACCCAUAUCAACUUUUAAUCAUGGUAAGCAGCAGCGAUAUAUGAAGAUCGUGUGAAGAAGGAAGAUCAAGGUUAUUUUGCCAGAAAAUCAAACAAAAAAGGGGAGAUUUAUUAGAAUUUUUGUCCUGAUUUUCUUACCAAAUUUAAGUUUUACUUUUUCUUAAAAGGAAAAUAAAAGUAAUACCAUAAUUACUUUUACUAAAAGAAAAAUAUAAAACUUUUCCAUAUUUGGCGAAAUUAUUUCUUUGAGGAAAAGUUUUGAAACUCUAUAAAUGGAAGACCCCUUCUCUUACUAUAACAAAAUAACAUCUACAAUGUAGUUGUUUCAGAGUUUUGAAAAAAUAAAAGUAAUACCAUAAUUACUUUUACUUUUUCUAAAAGAAAAAUAUAAAACUUUUUCAUAUUUGGCGAAACUAUUUCUUUGAGGAAAAGUUUUGAAACUCUAUAAAUGGAAGACGCCUUCUCAUACUAUAACAAAAUAACAUAUUCAAUGUAGUUGUUUCAGAGUUUUGGAUAGGGGGAGAUUUUCUCUCUCAUUAGUUUUUGUAUUUUCUUAAAUAUUAGGUUUUAUAAUAUGUAGACCAAUUGACCAAAAUUUAUAAUAAUUUUAUGUUUUUUAGUAUUGUUUUUUUUGUCGUCUGAUUUAUCGUCUCAUAGUUUGCAACUAAUAGCUUCUGCAUGACGGCCUUUCGAUUUCAAACCCAAUAAUUACUACUCAAAACAUAUAUGAAUCGAUUUUACAAAAGAGGAAUAUUUCAAGAAUAUUUACAGUAAGGAUAAAUUAUAUUUCUGGGAUUGUCAUUGCGUAUUGCAUGGACUAAAGACUUUAAGUUGGAUGAGGAACUUUUAACUACAGUUUGGAUUCAUUUUACAGGGCUGCUGUUAUGAACCUAGUCAAAUCCAAUGUACACAUCAAGAUAACACAAGCUGUUAUUGGGCUGACAAGAGCUAUUGGGCCGAGAAUAAGGAAUAGAGUUAAUUUAGAAUCUGGGUUGAAUAAUGGGCAUGAGAACAGUUUCAUUAUAAGGGGUAGUGGCUUGUGAUUGAAGGAUUAUGCAGAUUAUUGAGAAAAAUGUCUAGUCCUCUUAUACCCUUUCUUAUAGUCUAAGUUUCUCAUCUCCCUUCUAGUUAUCUUUGAUAGUUCUCUUCGUUUUACUAAUUCAGAGUUGUUCUGCAAUUAGUUGUUUGGUCUAGUGAUUAUAAUAAAAGAAUCCUUCUAUGAAA